rnacentral:lncRNA from 1 species
UCACCUUUCUUUCUUUUUUUUUUUCAUUUUUUCACCCUUUAUCUUCCUUAUCCUCAUCAUUUCUUCUACUCCACUUUCUUAUCUUGCUUACACCUUUGUCGAUACUGGCAGCGGCGAUACAGGCUCAGACAUGACACAAAUUAUAGAGAUAAGGUUAUUAUAGAGGGCAUAACCGUGGACGACGCUCUUGCGAGCAAUAGCGACAAGGAUGCCACAGAAUUUGAGGAUGGUGGAGAGGAGAGUACACUUGAGCAGGAGCGGCAGUUAUGGUAAAGGGUGAAGGAGAGGGCGUGGCAUAAAAAAAAUGCAGAUGGUGAAAAAAAAAGAAUAAGAAAGAAUAAUAAAAUAAUAAUGAAAUAUUUUUUCUUCUCCUAAGAAGGCUAUAAUGUGUUGUGUUUGCUACAGAAAAGACCAAGAAGUAGAAAAAAAAGAAUAAAAAAUUGUACUGUUUGAUAAGAGAUUGCACUGUUUGAUACUAAAUUGCACCAUUUAAAACUAUUUGAGACUAAACUUUAUCCCAAAAAUAAAAAUUUUACUGUUUGUGAUUAAAUUGUACUAUUUGAGAUUUAAGUUGUACUGUUUGAGAAAUUGUAACUUAGUUUUAAAUAGUUUUAAAUACCCAGCUUAAGUCUCAAACAACACAACUUUCUCUCUAAUAGUACAACUUCUUCUUCUUCUUUUUCUUUUUUCUCUAUUUGUUGGACUU